UAUUACGGUACUCAUCCUUUUGUGCAUGUAAGGACUCAUUUCUCCUGGAUGUGUAAGCAAGAGUGGAAAUGCUAGGCCAUAGGGUAGAUGCGUAUUUAACUUGAUGAGAAGCUGGUCAGUUUCCUGCCGUGGGUGCAACAAAGCAUAUUUGCACCAGCAGCGCCUGGGGGCUGCUCUUCUCCGUAUCCCCACCAGCAGUUGGUACUGGCAGACCUUCUCCUCUGAGCUAUUCUGAUAGUGGGGCAGUGCGAUUUCACGGUUUUUAAUGAGAUGUGGAGCACCUUUCAGAGGCUGGCCUGGUUUUUGUAGCUGCCCUAGGCAGCCCUGAGGAGGGAUGGGAGGGGGGUUGGUGAAGAGGAUGUUCCUGCAACCCAGGUGUGAGACGGGAGAGCCCUGAGUUAGGUUGAGGCUAGAAGGCAGGCAGAGGAUGGGAUGGAGAGCUGUGUUGGGGGGACGGUGGGAUGGUGAGGAUGGACGGCAGAGCUGCCAGUGGCAGGCAUCCCAUCUCCCAGUGGCUAGGAACACUCCUGAUCUCCUAAGGCAAGCAGUGCCGAGACAGGGCAGCACAAGGCCGGAGGAUUUGAUGGCACGGGGUCCUGGCUCUUUCUCCUUUGCCAUUUUUAGCUAUUGAUGAGGGAAGAUGGCGACAGGGCCAGGAGAGAGGUGUCCUCUCCUUGCGCCACCCUCCCCCUUUUUUUUUGAGAUGGAGUUUUGCCCUUGUCACACAGGCUGGAGUGCAGUGGUGCGAUCUUGGCUCACUGCAACUUCUGCCUCCUGGGUUCAAGUGAUUCUCCUGCCUCAGCCUCCUGAGUAGCUGGGAUUACAGGUGCUUGGCACCACGUCUGGCUAAUUUUUUGUAUUUUUAGUAGAGACGGGGUUUCACCAUGUUGGCCAGGCUGGUCUCGAACUCCUGACCUCAGGUGAUCCCCCUGCCUUGGCCUCCCAAAGUGCUAGGAUAAUAGGCAAGAGCCACCGCGCCCGGCCUCUUGUGCCUCUUUUUAAGACCAAGGACACCCUUCCCAGAUGACCUCCUCCACCCCACUCCCAAGACUUCCCCUCGCAUUUCACUGGCUUGCGUGAACUGCAAGCCUUGUCCAUUCCUCAACCAAUCCCUGGCAAGGGAAUGGGAAACAAUCUCUUCCCACUCCACGAGGUCACUCUCCUGUGGCUCUUUGCCUGAACACACCAGGGACGUCUGCUCCUGCUGGUGCCUCCGCGUGGGAAGGCCCUUCCUGAUUCUUCCAUCUGGAAGAGUCAUCUUUCAAAGCUGCCUCCAAAGGCAGUCUUCUACCUGCAGGCUGGGUCAGGGUCUCCUCUGGGUUCUCACAGCCUUCCAGGACCCCUACCGGAUGUGGCCUGUUUCUGUGGCUCAGAAAUGGGACCUCUUCCCAGCCCCAUGCAACCAUAAUCAGCACAGCCAGCCAUGGUGAGGACUCCCAGCCCGCUGGACCUGUGCCUGGCAGCCACAACCCUGCCCUCACCCCUGCCCAGGGCUGGGCAUGACCUCUGGGAAAAGCCUCAGGAGAGGACUGGGACUGAAAGAAAAACACCCAUUUGAUGGAGAAGCAAAGUGAGGCUCAGUGAGGGGUGUGACUUGCCCAAGGUCAUGGUCAGGGCCAGUCUUAGCCCCAGGCCUCUCUCUCAGGCCUGGGCCCUGGGCCCUACUCCAGGGCUCCUCAGACUUUGAAGGUCACGUGAAUCACUGGGGCACCCUGUUAAAAUGCAGACGCUGGUUCAGUAGGUUGGGGUGGGACUGGACUUGCUAUUUCCCACAUGCUUCCGCUGCCACUAGCCUGCAAGCCACACUGGGGGUGUCACAGUCUGUACUAAGGGAGACCUUGGAUUUUCAGCCCCACCCUCAGAAGCCUAGAGGCCGCUGCUUUAGGAAGGGUGGGGUGUGGGUAGGGUGUGAGUGGGGAAGCCACUUCAAGAAACCCCAAUCUCCAUUCCUGUUCUGCCAGCCAUCUAGGACACCAGAGCUGCUGGAACGUUUUAUUAAGUUAAGAGGUUCAGGGAGCAGGAGAGAAACACCUUUUGGGUGGCUCUGGCGGUUCUGCACCCAGCACAGCCUCGAAGGAGGCUGUGGGGCCAUGGAGGCCAGCUGCUAGCUCCCUCUGUCCUGAGCCCCAUGGUAUGGGUCCAAAUGGGGCAGGAAGUGUUAGUAGGAGGUAGGGUAGGAAGAGGGUGGCAGGCUCCCGCCUCUCCCCUGUAGAGACACCCCGCCAUGGCUGCUGCCUGGGCCUCCGCCAGACCCCUGGGCUAGGGCCACCAGCUCAGAAGCCCAAGCAGAGGGUGGCUGGAGACAGAGGGGGACCAGGGUUGGAGGCACACAGCCACCAGGAAUUGCUUUUUUUUUUUUUUUUUUUUAAGUAUAAAGUGUUUUGGAAAAAAAGGAAAAAAAUCUAUAUAAAAAUCUCUUCACAUAUAAAAUCCUGAAGAAGGUGCAAGGUAAGACCCAGUGCGAGGGGCGCGCUCAGAUAUGCAGUGUGUGUGUGUGUGUCCGUGUGUACAUGUGUGCACGUGUGUGUGUAUGUGUCUGUGUGUGUGUGUGUGUGUGGUGGGUGCAAGUGCACGUGUGGCCCACAGAGGGUGGGGAGAAAGCUUGGCUUUUUACUUCCAUCCAGGAGGGAAGGAGGGCGGCUGGUCCUCCAGCCUGGAGGGUCUGCAGCUGGGCGGGACCUGAAAGACAAGGUGCGGCAGGGCUGAGGCCUGGGCUGAGGGGCUGCGAGGCCACCCCGAGGCCAAGCAAGGGUGCUGAGUGGGUCCUUCCACCACCUCUCAGCCCCUAAGGUACAGCCAGAUCCGCUCUUCCUGGCUCCUUCCCAAGCAGCUCAGCCAUAGGGUGGCCUCUCCUGCAUGCCUUAGGAAGUCUAUGAGGACUUAUCAGAAAGAGGAUGCUCCAGGUAGAUGUGGCGUUGAAAAAGCAAAAAUAAGAACACUUUGGCCAGGUGCAGCGGCUCACACCUGUAAUCUCAGAAUUUUGGGAGGCUGAGGCAGGUGUAUUGCUUGAGCCCAGGAGUUCGAGACCAGCCUGGGAAAUCACGGCGAAACCCCACCUAUACAAAAAGUGCAAAAAUUAUCUGGGCAUGGUGGUGAGGGCCUGUGGUCCCAGCUACUCAGAAGGCUGAGGUGGGAGGAUCCCUUGAGCCUAGGAGGUUGAGGCUGCAGUGAGCCAUGAUUGCACCACUGCACUCCAGCCUGGGUGUCAGAGUAAGACCUUGUCUCAAAGCAACCAAAACCAACCAACCAACCAACCAACCAACCAACCAACCAACCAACCAACCACUUUGAGCCCUGCUAAGUCAAGAAGGAGUGUUAAGACUAACUGGGAUAGAAGCCCGGCCUCAGCGUGCGAUGUGUGUGUGUGAAGCUCAGUGGAGAUUCACUGUGGGGGUCAGGGAUGUGCACGCUGCAUUUGCCUCCAGCCCCAAGAAGGGGGGUGCACUGAGCAGGCUGUGGCUCUGCACUGUGCCGCCCAGCUCUGGAGGAACAGGCUUAAGCUGAUGAAGCAGCCUGUGGCCCGGGUCUGAUGGGAUCUCUGCAACAACCCCGUGUUGCUGGUUUCAUUGUCCUUUUUACAGAACGGGAAUUGGAGGCCAGAAGAAGGAAGUGGCCUGGCUGGG
rnacentral:lncRNA from 1 species